UACAGAGGGUGCAAGCGUUGUUCGGAAUUAUUGGGCGUAAAGGGCGCGUAGGCGGUGCCACAAGUCACCUGUGAAAUCUCCGGGCUUAACUCGGAGCCUGCAGGCGAAACUGUGGUGCUGGAGUGUGGGAGAGGUGCGUGGAAUUCCCGGUGUAGCGGUGAAAUUCGUAGAUAUUGGGAGGAACACCUGUGGCGAAAGCGGCUCACUGGACCACAACUGACGCUGAGGCGCGAAAGCUAGGGGAGCAAACAGG
rnacentral:rRNA from 1 species